GUCAUGGAUAGCCUUGGAUGCUUGGUUAAUGUUGGGUGGCCUGCCUGCGAUGAUCAGGCAUGGGGGGCGAUAAGGAAAGAAUGGAUUCUUGAUACGGUGGGAGAAACGAAAUCCAUGGACUCUCCGAAAUGCUUUCCUUCGAAAUACUCCCUCGUAAACAAAUGCUCUUAUAUUUGUUUAUAAAAAGAGCACUAGAUAUAUUUUUUGUGCGAAUAGAGGGAGUAGUAGAUACUUCACUUGAUCAAGAUGAGGCCGUGGUCACAGGGCUUGUCGACUUAUACAAUAGUUUCUCUUAAGAAAUAUUUUUCGAUGGAACUUUUUCUUGUAGUCAUUUUUUUAAUACAGUACAAACGCAAUGCGCUCAUAUAUAUACACGCAUACACUCAUCCCUAUGCAUGGCACACACAUGCUACCCCUAUAAGCAUCUUCAAGUGACUGAGCCGCCAUAUCAUCUUAAGAUUUUACGAAGUCAUCGUAGGUGCAUCGUAAUCGACGGGAACGUCUCUUCCACUGAAGGUGCAGCGACGGAAAAACGGAAAUAAAUCCAAGAUAAAUGCGAGCACAGGACUUGUACCCUGGUGGUCUAAGGAUACCACUGUCGUCAGGUUGGAUCGCUAUAAUGGUUGCUAAUAUAAUAUUUUCUUAUGUAUUUCACGUCAUAUAAAGAAGUCAAAACAAUAUUAUACACUGUAUUUUAUCUUACGGUCAUUUCUAGGGAUUAUUUGCUUUCAUGAUCAUAAAAUUAUGGGGUGGUUGAAAUUAAACUAAAAAAUGUGUGAAUAGAAGAAGUCAUAUGUGACAAUAGGGAAAAUGACUUAUCUUUAUCUUUUUUCUUUUGACAUGACCUAUCUUUAUCUUUUGGCUAAGAGAAGUCAUGUCUCUAUGCGUUUCUCUCCCUUUCACCCCACCAACUAUUCGAUACAAAUAUCGUACAUACCCUAAGGAAGCCGUGUACACUGUGCCGGAGUGUAGUGAAGACCAAACAGGACCCUAGUCCGUCUUUAUUUAUGAAUUUCCUUUUAGGAGUUGAUGCAAAUUUGUCCAGAAAUAAUAGAUGACUCACCGAGCAAGAGGUAGGCCCAUCCUUCGAUUCAUGCUCCACCACUGUAUGCACACAGGCAGCCCAUUUCCCCACCAUUAUUGUAGGGGCAGCGUUAGGCGCCGGUGUGCCGGCCCGGUUUUUCCGCCGGUCCAGCCUCAACCGUUUGAUCUAACUUAAAAAAGCCGUCCGAUCUGGCAUCUCCUCCCUUCCUGAGUCGUCUUCAACCUCUGCCCCACGCGCCUUCGCCCAUCUGCCCCACGCACCUCCGCCUCUCUGCCCAUGCGCCUUCACCUCUGUGCGCAGCUCCGCGAGGGCGCCGCUCGCCGGCCGCCGACCACUCGCCGCUCGCACCCGACGCCCCACGACCCCUCUACGGCUCGCACCCGGCGCCUCACAACCCCCCUCGUGCAGCUCCCCCUCAACCUGAUUGCAACUCCGUCGUAGAUCGGUUGCAACUCCUGCCAUUGACGCUCCAUGGAUGUAGCACCGCCGCCGCCGCCCGUCGUCAACGCUCGCUGCCGGAAUUGCGCGGUCAACGACCACCAGUAAAAAAACGACAUUAAACGGAUGUAGCAAAAAAUAUUGCCUAUAGUCGCAAAACACAUCACCGGUUGUAACAAAAAAAAUGACAGACGGUUGCAGCAAAAUCGACCACCGGUUAUAGCUUUUGUGUUUGCCUGUUCCAGCAAAAACAGGUUCUGUUUCCAGCUCGGGGCUUCUCUGGUAAUACAAUGGUUGUAGCACAACACAGUCACCGGGGUUCGGCAACCUCAUUAUAAAGGAUGUAACAAAAUGAUAGUGCGGUAGUAGCAAAAAACCAAAACCGUUGUAGCAAAAAGUGGUACAGAAUGAUUCCAGCAAAAGAACAUGGCAGCAAAAAUACGAAGACGUUGGUAUCAAAUUAGUACACUGGUUCCAGCAAAAACAAAAAUGGGAGCAAAAUCUGGGGUUGGUUCCAACAAAACCCGAAGACACUAGUAGCAGAAUUUAGAGCUGGUUCCAGCAAAAAAAUGGCAUGGUUCCAGCAAAAAAUACUGCUGUCAAAAAAGGAAUUGCUGUGACCGGCAAAAUCAAAAGCUGGAACCAGCGAUGCAGGAAGCUACAGCCGGUGAUUAGAAAGAUGCAAGCGACUGAUUAAAAAGUUGCAACCGGUGAUUCUGAAAACUGGUACUGGUGAUUCAAAAAGCUACAACUAGCUGAACAAAAUGCUACAACCAGUUAUUUCAAAAGCUGGAACCAGCGAUUUCCGAAAAACAGAUGCAAGAAAUAGAUUUUGAAGAAAAGCUUGAAAGGGAUGAUUUAGAAAAGAUGCAACCGGUUUAGCAGGAAGCUACUACCGGUGAUCCAAAAAGCUACAACCGAUGAGCAUAAAAAAGGGCAGAUCUUCCACCGGCCAUGGCUGCUGGAGAGGGGAAGGGGUCGCCGGAGUUGCAGCCGCCGGCCAUGCCCAGCAGUGAGCUCGUAUUUUUUGUGGUGGCUAUGGAGGUGCUCGCCGCAGCAGGCUGGGAGCUGUUCCGUGGCGGCGAUUCACAAGCGGUGGAGCAAGCAAGGCCAUGGCUACUGCAGGGGAAGAGAGCAAAGAGAGGACGAGGAGAGAUUGAGGGGAUAAACUGUAGCUUGGGGAAGAGAUAAGAUUUAAGUGGUUCAGCGGUGCGUUGGCCCACUUAAAAAAGGUGUGCAUGUGCGGGGAGUGGUGGGACUGUUCCGCGUGAGACCGGC
rnacentral:rRNA from 1 species